rnacentral:rRNA from 1 species
GGACGUAGGGGGCGAGCGUUGUCCGGAUUUAAUUGGGCGUAAAGGGUUCGCAGGCGGCUGAGUAAGUCAGAUGUGAAAUCUCCGAGGCUCAACCUGGAGCUGGCAUCUGAUACUUGCUCUAGCUAGAGUCCGGUAGGGGCGCACGGAAUAUCCAGUGUAGCGGUGAAAUGCUUAGAUAUUGGGUGGAACACCAGUGGCGAAGGCGGUGCGCUGGGCCGGAACUGACGCUCGAUGAACGAAAGCCGUGGGUAGCAAACAGG